AGAGAACGUGAAGGGGUUCAUCCAUCUGCGGUCUAAGUGGAGGUGUCCAAUGAGCCGAGACUUAGCCAAACGACAGGAAGUGAUGAAGAUCUUGCAGCUGCUCAAAUGUUGGAACGUUCCUCUGCAGGCCGUACACGCCGUGGCGGUCCAGGACCACCUCGUGACGACACGACGGGCAGCGGAAGCGACUCCCGCUGGCGGCCACGCUGGACGAGCUUCGCGACUGCCACGCCGGGUUGGACAACUGUACGGACAACAACACACAGCAAACACGUCAAGACGGAGACGGGAAGAAGCUUGGUUUCCAAGCCGUCGUGUUCCGGGGUCACCGUGUGGCCCCCAUCGAGGUUUGCGGGUGUAAGUGGUGAUCUCGGCGAGGGUGGGACUGGCCUGGAAGAUGUCGUUGGCACACUUCCUGCAGAGGUUGUGCUGGCAGGGCAGGAUGACCACCGGCUUGGAGAACAUCUCCAGGCAGACGGGACACAUGAGCUGCUUCUCCAGGUUCUCCAUGGUCGCUCCUCCGCUUCCGCCGGCAGCCGCGCCGCGACCCCCCCGACUGCGACCCGGACUUCCAGCCGGCUGAAGGGCAAAGUUCAUCACCUCCCGGGGUCACAAUGAAACACGGAGAAGGUUCCGGAAACUUGGAAGGAGCGUCUCAGCUGUUGGUUUCUACGUCAGUUGGAUCCAAGCGACCACUUGAAGACCUAGUUUGUCCAGCUGUCCAUCCCCUUUUUCCCUCUGUGCCAUCACUCCGUGUAAAGACCCCCGCCCCAGACCACAAGUCCCCGUCCCCCUGACUGGAGCUAUUCUUAGCCGCCCAGUUUGUUCUGGCUUCAAUUACUGGAAUUCCAUCAGCAGACCACUGGAAAGUCCAGGCGUGGCCCAGGAUCCGUACUCGCUUCGGUGUUUUUAUUUUCUACCACACGUCAGAAGUUGGCCAAGGGGGUUGCUUGUGGAUUUGGGAAUGUUGCUAACGUGAUGCAACUGGUGGCAGCCAUGUUUCAAGCUGCUUGGUAAUCGGAGGCCAACGCGGUGAACGAGUGGGUAGCACGGCUUCCUCCCACAUCCCGAAAACACACAUUAGGGUGACUGGAGACUCUAGAUUGUCCAUAUGUUGUUUCUAUGUACCGUAAUGUCCUGUGACCGACUGUCAUCCACCCCGCCCACCCGAAGUCAGCUGGGAUAGGCUCCAGCUCACCCGAGUCAAACAAGAGCUAUAUUAAACGGAUAAUAUUGUUCAUUGGUUUGGAAGCAACAAACUGUAGUCAAGUUUCCAGCACACAACUUUGCGUAGCUCAAUGGUGUCCAAACUCUGGCUCAGGGGCCUUCGUUGGCCUGUGGUUUGUUUUCGGGUUCUUUUAACCACGGAAUGCACCAGAACAUGACGAGGAUGAGGAUGAUUAGAGCCACUGUGACAGCUUGGGGUUGAUACAUACAAUGCCUGUUUGAUGGGGAAUACAUUAGAAUUUGAUUUGGAACUGUUUUAGAAGGGAAGAUAAAACGAUCAUCCAUUUAAUCAGAAAAUAUCAUGUAAAUAGUUGGUGAUUCAAAUAUAUUAGCGUAAAACUGCAAGGAAAUGUUUAAGUGUUUUAUACUGUUUAUUCCAUUAUUGCUUAAAAUCUGCCUUUAAAUAUGUGAAUCUGUAAUCAAUAAUCAUCCAUUCGCCGGUGAUCGAUUGCUUUUGUCUAAGACCACAUACCCGGGGAGCACGUGCGGCUUUCCGCCAUGACACCGGCGUCCACAGUGGAGGAAACAACACAGGUUCAUGUGUGGUCAUUUCACCCCAUAUCAGGGACCAUAUAUCACCGGUGGAACGGACGGAGGAUGUGACGCCUUCUGAAGGAGACUUUGGAUGAGACACUGGAGGAGCUCUCGCAGGACUUCCGGGAGCACUACAGAUGCCACCAAAGACAACUAAGAGAUCAGCCAUUGACGCCACAAUCACUUUCAACACAACGACACUGCGGGACCAGGGAGUCUCACACACGCACCGCGCCGCGCCAGCCGGGGCGUCGACCAAAGCAGAUUACAUUUUGCUGACCUCGCAGAUUACUCGGGUGCCGUCGGAGUCCGUUCAGAAGGCCGCAAACACACGACAUGCACGCCGCCAUCGUGUCAUGUGAUCUUCAUCAUCACCACGAUAUUUCACACCAUCCUGAUGGCGUGUCAGCCGUGCUUGGCUAAGUGAGCAGCAUGCCGGGAAUAACACGGAAUACCAGGGAAUACCAGGCUUCCCUCCUUUGGAGGAGGGUCCCGCCGGGUGCCAUCGCCAGGGCACAGCAUGUGAAAGUCAUUAAAUACAAAACCCCGCAGAGAGAAGAUCAGGAAGGCCGGCAUUUUAAUCGCCUACGAUUGUCAUGACGACAGCCUUUGCUGGAUAAUAACUGGCAUACAAAAUAUUGACAAUAAUUGAUUCUAUUUGGAGACCAUUUUUCAUGAAUGAUAUGGCAAAAUAAUGAGAGUACAAUAUAUGAAAGCAAUUAAUUUAUCUGGAAUAUUUUACAUUGCAAUUGGAAUGUUAAGAGCUUUUAAAUACAUUUAAUAACACAUUUUUAAAAAGACUCAAUUCAAAUAAGAUGGACUCUUUCUCUUUCAGCAAGAAUUGCUACCCCAGGUAAAGCCAUGACUAUAAUGCACCCACUAUUCAUAAGUCCUCUCAUAUUAUUAUUAUUAUGAUUAUUAUUACGUGCACGGAUGAGACAGACAUUGCGCAGUGCCGUCCUUUGAAUGUUGCUGGCUAAGUUUAGCUGCGCUUCAAAUGCUGAAAAGCACAAAGCAUCCGACCAAACAUUUUUAGACCUAAGCCUUCUUUUAGGAAUCUGCCAGGAAAUGAUCAAACAUUCCUUGUUAUGGAUGUACAUGAUAUCGCAUCCUGGCAGACAAAGACA